rnacentral:lncRNA from 10 species
CUUGGUCGGCUGGGGCAAGAGAAUUGGUUGAACCUGGGAGGCAGAGAUUGCAGUGAGCCAAGACUGCACCACUGCACUCCAGACUGGGUGACAGAGCGAGACUCUGUCAAAAAAAAAAAAAAAAAAAAAAAAAGCACAGUGGAGGGCAAAGAGAGAACCAUUUGAAGGGAAGAAAAUGGAGGGAGGGAGUCCAGUUACUAGACUUGCUGCAAAACUGACAGGGCUGGAACUGAGGCUAUGGCAGGAGAGUAGGAGGAGAUGAUAGGUGCAGACGUGUGGAGUCAAAGGUGGCUGGAAAGAGUAAAGACAAUCAUUGCACAUGGCGGAGUGCCGGAGUGGCCAGCGCUGAAGGCAGAGAUCCUGGCCUCGGCUCUCAGUGGUUUGGUAGUGGCAGGGAUGGACUUGGGACUGAAUGGAGUGUGCAGAAAGGAGAAGAGAGCCCAGACCCAGUGCAUUUUGCAGGGCCCUGUGCAAAAUGAAAAUGCAAAGCCCCUUGUUCAAAAAUAUAUCAGAAUUUCCACCAGGCACAGGAAUG